rnacentral:lncRNA from 1 species
UGUUUAUGUCAAUAUUUUUCUUAUCAUAUCAAUAUACGAAGUGGAAAUUAGAACUGUGCAUUAUAUAGAGACGAUCGACCAGUUUUAUGACCAAUUUGGUAAUUAUUUGAACUUCCCACAGAAUCCUUUCUGCCUGGCAGUUUUUACGACAAAUUUGUCAUAUAUCAAUACACUAAAAAAUUGGAAUGAUAAUUACUUGUGCAAACAAGCAGUCAAUCAUAAAGUCAUAUUUUGUUGAUAUUCUUCUGUAUAUUUUUUUCAUGGCCCCUUUCUUCAGCCUUAAUUAACACCCUGAGAGUUAUAUACUUCGAUUUAAUGCAUAACUAUUUCGAUAUAUUUUUUCAUAACAUUCCAGAAAUUAUAUUUAAAAAACGAUCCAAUCCUCUGAUAAUAAAAGUACGCUUCUCAAAAAGUCCCCUUCUUGUGCCUCAAUUUACAUCUCCUUUCAUUUAAUGCAUACUUAUUUAAAAAUAAAAUAAUUAAAACAUACUGGCUUUGACACCUCUAUGGAUCUUUCCAAAAAAUGUCUCAACGUUCUUGUGUCAUACUGUACAUCUCGAUAGCUAUAUUUUUCUUUCCUGUGCAUGCAUAUAUCAUAUAUUGAAAGAGGGUUGCUGCUCACAAGGAAGCUAUGAAACCAAAAGUUCCAAAUGGUGAAGUUGAAACAUCCCUUGUAAAUUUUUACGGACGCCAAUCAACGAGUUGGUUGACCGUUAUGGAAUAACCGUUUCACAAAAGAUAUCGGAUAUGUUCCUCACGUCGUAACUACAAUCCCCUUCCCUUUCAUGAAUGUAACCUACCGAAUUAGACUAUUUACCGGAUUUGUUAUAAUAUAAGCAACAUGACGGGUGCCACAUGUGGAGCAGGAUCUGCUUACCCUCCGGAGCACCUGAGAUCACCCCUAAUUUUUUUAUUUUUUUUGGUGGCUUUCGUGUUGUUUAUUCUUUAGUUUUCUAUGUUGUGUCAUGUGUGCUGUUGUUUGUUUGUCUUUUUCAUUUUUAGCCAUGGUGUUGUCAGUUUGUUUUAGAUUUGUGAGUUUGACUGUUCCUUUGGUAUCUUUCGUCCCUCUUUUAUAACGAUAUAUUUUUUGCAUCAUACCAUAUCGGUAAUUUGAUUUAAAAAAAUUACCAAUCUGCUGAUAAAGUACAACUUUCUUAAUGUACCUUCUUGUGCCUCAAUUAACGCUUAAUGUCACUGUCAUUUUUUCCAUAUCAAUACACUGGAAUUGGAAAUGUACAUUAAAAGAAUACAAUAAAGAUCAUUUUCUGCGGCAAUCGCAAACAAAAUUACCAUUCUUCUGAUAAAGUACAUUCAAAGAAUAUCCCAAAGUCCCCUUAUUGCGCCUCAACUUGCAUCUCCAAGAACUAUAUAUCACGGCCAUUUUUCUCCAUAUCAAUACACUGGAAUUGGAAAUGUACAUUAAAAGAAUAAAAUAAAGAUCAUCUUCUGCGGCAAUUGUAUAAUGACGCCUUGUUGUCUGACACUAGAUUUAUUGACUGUUCAACAUUAUCAUGAUCGGGACCAUAAUCACUUUUUUAGCUACAGCCAACUGUCAUGGCUGUGAGAGAAUCAAUGUUUAUUGUUCUCUAGAGCUGUUUAGGACUUUGUAGAAAUGUAUCAGCCUAAAUGGAAUAAUGGAAAUGCCCUCGUUAUUGUAAUUGCAACACAUGUCAUUGCAAAACAUAUUGAUGCAUUUUAUAAGUGAGGAAUACAACCGCUCUACACGUUACUUUUAGAUACAACUAAAUGAUAUAAGAUCAUUUAAUACAAAUUUGAUUGUUCUGUCAGCCUAUAUUGAACACUUUUUAAAUAAAGGUUGAUUUUUUUCCUUUCAAGCAUUUUCUUUUUUUGUUCUCUUUCCGAAGAGAAUAAUACAUUUUUACCGCGGUUUUUGUGCGUGUGUUUGGUUGGUUUUUUUUUUUUUUUUUUUGGCUAGGGCUGGGGAUGGUGGUGCAAAGUUGUUAUAGUAACAAGUUUAUUGUCGAAACGAUUGACUAUUAUAUUUGGGCAAUCCGACUAGUCCACAGUUUAUUUGCAAGCAUUAGUGUGUCUUACGUCAGCGAAUUACGCGUACACGUAAACCAUCACUUAUAGAUUUCAUAUAUUUUCAAAUCACAAAAGCAUUAUAUCAACAAGCACAGCAUGGUUUCAGGACGGCUGAGGGAGAUGUCUAAGAACGGCUACGAUGCCAGCUAAUAAUUUAAAGACUACUUUAGAAGCAUGUGAAACCAUCACUUUGAACUGAAAACCCCGCAUGUAUAGUCUUAUAUUUUCUUUUGUCUAGACGUCCGGUCACAGAAAGGACACGUACACCAUUAGAUCCACUAAUUAUGAACAGAGGCAGGUUGGGUGCUUAAAGUUGUUUUAUGUAGAUUCUCAAAAUUCAGUGAAAUAAAUCAAAAACUUUAUGAAUAAUAAUAGACGCAAUUUAUUAUGUGUUGAAGCUUAAAACGCGUUUUUUUUCAAACAUUACAAUUAGAGGUAUGCAAGUGACUGCUUUGGCUUUCUAAUCUAGCUU